UACGAAGGGGGCUAGCGUUGUUCGGAAUUACUGGGCGUAAAGCGCGUGUAGGCGGGUCCUUAAGUCAGGGGUGAAAUGCCGAGGCUCAACCUCGGAACUGCCUUUGAUGACUGGGGAUCUUGAGUCCGGGAGAGGUGAGUGGAACUGCGAGUGUAGAGGUGAAAUUCGUAGAUAUUCGCAAGAACACCAGUGGCGAAGGCGGCUCACUGGCCCGGAACUGACGCUGGAGACGCGAAAGCGUGGGGAGCGAACAGG
rnacentral:rRNA from 1 species